rnacentral:rRNA from 1 species
UACGUAGGUGGCAAGCGUUGUCCGGAUUUACUGGGCGUAAAGGAUGCGUAGGCGGACAUUUAAGUCAGAUGUGAAAUACCCGAGCUUAACUUGGGUGCUGCAUUUGAAACUGGGUGUCUAGAGUGCAGGAGAGGUAAGUGGAAUUCCUAGUGUAGCGGUGAAAUGCGUAGAGAUUAGGAAGACCAGUGGCGAAGGCGAGUCUCUGGACAGUUACUGACACUGAGGCACGAAGGCCAGGGGAGCAAACGGG